CUACAACAAGAAACUGCCUUAA
rnacentral:miRNA from 14 species